UACGUAGGGCGCAAGCGUUGUCCGGAAUUAUUGGGCGUAAAGAGCUCGUAGGCGGUCUGUCGCGUCUGCUGUGAAAACCUAGGGCUUAACUCUGGGCGUGCAGUGGGUACGGGCAGGCUAGAGUGCGGUAGGGGGAGACUGGAAUUCCUGGUGUAGCGGUGAAAUGCGCAGAUAUCAGGAGGAACACCGGUGGCGAAGGCGGGUCUCUGGGCCGUAACUGACGCUGAGGUGCGAAAGCGUGGGGAGCGAACAGG
rnacentral:rRNA from 1 species